UACGGGGGGGGCAAGCGUUGUUCGGAAUUACUGGGCGUAAAGGGUUCGUAGGUGGCCAACUAAGUCAGACGUGAAAUCCCUCAGCUUAACUGGGGAACUGCGUCUGAGACUGGAUGGCUUGAGUGCAGGAGAGGGAUGCAGAAUUCCAGGUGUAGCGGUGAAAUGCGUAGAUAUCUGGAGGAAUACCGGUGGCGAAGGCGGCAUCCUGGACCGGCAUUGACGCUGAGGAGCGAAAGCCAGGGGAGCAAACGGG
rnacentral:rRNA from 1 species